CAGGACUGGUGUGCAGCAGCAAUCCUACGCCAAGAUGAAUACCGUUGUUCAUCUCGUAGUUUGCCUUUGUCUCUUAUCAACGAUUGAAAGCGCUGUUGUUGAACCACGAGAUGAUAAUCAAACCCUAGAUGAUGGUGGACUCCAAGACAAUGUAAUUCCCGGAGACGAUGAUACAGCAUCUCAGACAAGAAAUGGCCACCUAACUGGAUGUGAUGCACAUGGGCACACAUGCCAACAUGGUGGGACGUGUGUUACAUACAACAUAACAGGCUCAGCUUUUGCCCAAAAUAAUACGCCAGCGAUCACCUCCCAUUGCGAGUGCACGGACUUUUGGGAAGGGCAAUAUUGCCAGGAUGAUGUCGAUGAAUGCGCAUCUAUGAGCAGUGGUUCAAACAGACCUUGCGCCCAACGCUGUGAGAAUAUCCCAGGGUCUUACCGGUGCAGUUGUAAUGAGGGCUACACUCUAAAUCAAGACUCAUCAACCUGCU